AUGGAUAUUUUCCUUCCCGAAGUUUUCAAAAUCAAGAAAUGCCUGUUUCGUGAACUGGAUUUUACGGCUUUAUUCCUACGAGAAGAAGAAAUGAAAGCAAAUGGGCAAAAAUUGAUCCCAGCGAGGAAUUACAGCUCUGGCGCUGUUUUCCAGUGGGAACUGAGGAUGUUUGUGGAGUUACUGGCUGGAGAGGUAAUCUCCUCAAAUCACUGCGACUUCACUACCAUCUUGAAUACUGCACUCACACCGCAGAGGAAGCAGUGCUACAAGGGUACCAGCUACCCAUCCCUUCCACGCAGAGGACAGGGAGCAGGUAAGCCCCAGCAUGUGAGACCCAGGGAGCAAUGAGCUCUCUGUUUUAAGGCUGUGUCUAUAUACACAACUAGUCAGAGAACAGGUUAUAACACAAUGGUUAAAAUGUGUGUGUGUGUGUGUGUGUGUGUGUGUGUGUGUGUGUAUACGUGUGUGCUCUCAGACAGAUAGGUUAAGGCAGUGAGGACUGAGGCUGGGAGCUAAAACUAUGUUCAUCUUUAUGCUGACCGAUCUCUCCCGCUGGGCCAAGACUGUGGAGCCCAACUGCAGACAGGUUCUUAGGUAGGCUCACAGGCUGGGGUCUCCAGGAUGGGAUGUGGAGUGCAUGGUUUUCUUGGGAACUUGCAACUGUGGAAGGAGGGGUGAGGUCUGAGGAG
rnacentral:lncRNA from 1 species